rnacentral:rRNA from 1 species
UACGUAGGGUGCAAGCGUUAAUCGGAAUUACUGGGCGUAAAGCGUGCGCAGGCGGCUUUGCAAGACAGAUGUGAAAUCCCCGGGCUCAACCUGGGAACUGCAUUUGUGACUGCAAGGCUAGAGUACGGUAGAGGGGGAUGGAAUUCCGCGUGUAGCAGUGAAAUGCGUAGAGAUGCGGAGGAACACCGAUGGCGAAGGCAGCCCCCUGGGCCAACACUGACGCUCAGGCACGAAAGCGUGGGGAGCAAACAGG